rnacentral:lncRNA from 1 species
GUCCUCCAAAUGCUCCUUCCCCUCAUAACCAACCAAAUGUUCCUACUCCUCCAAAAACACCAUCUCCUGCUUAUAGUCCUCCAAAUGCUCCUUCCCCUCAUAACCAACCUCCCUAUGUUCCUACACCUCCAAAAACACCUUCUCCUUCUUAUAAUCCUCCUAAUGUUCCCACUCCUCCCAAAACACCUUCACCUAUUUACACUCCACCAAAUGUUCCUACUCCUCCAAAAACACCAUCUCCUGCUUAUAGUCCUCCAAAUGCUCCUUCCCCUCAUAACCAACCUCCCUAUGUUCCUACACCUCCAAAAACACCUUCUCCUUCUUAUAAUCCUCCUAAUGUUNNN